rnacentral:lncRNA from 1 species
AUCACCUACAUAGAUGCCAUACAGAGGUCCGACUCCGAUUAGUGGCUUGGAGCCAUAAAGUCUGAAAUAAAGUCCAUGAAGAUCAAUAGUGUAUGGAUACUAGUUGAUUAGCUUGAAAGGAUAAAGCCCAUAGGAUGUAAGUAGAUCUUCAAUAGAAUCAGAGGACACGACGAGAAUGUGGAGACCCACAAUGCCCAUCUAGUUGCCUAAGGAUAUUAUCAAUAUUAUGGUAUUGACCAUAGCG